AUACGGAGGGUGCAAGCGUUGUCCGGAUUUAUUGGGUUUAAAGGGUGCGUAGGCGGUGCGCUAAGUCAGUGGUGAAAUCCCGCAGCUCAACUGCGGAACUGCCAUUGAUACUGGCGCACUUGAGUACGGACGAGGUAGGCGGAAUUUAUGGUGUAGCGGUGAAAUGCAUAGAUACCAUAAAGAACACCGAUAGCGAAGGCAGCUUACUAGACCGUAACUGACGCUCAGGCACGAAAGCGUGGGGAGCGAACAGGAUUAGAAACCCGAGUAGUCC
rnacentral:rRNA from 1 species